AGGAGCUUAGGAUUAAACUAAUUAACCGGCGGCUUUCAAGUCCGCAAAAAAGGGGUAACCUUAGCUUCUG
rnacentral:tRNA from 1 species